ensembl:lncRNA
GCUAAAUGAUCAGCACAGGACGCUACAUCCUGACACAGCACUGGUGAAAGACCGCAUGACAAAAACCUUUGCAUGGAGACGCCGAGAGGUAGCUGAAGGAAUGUGUACUGUGGACCUAUUAAAGAGAUAUCCAUUCCUGGGGACAUCUGCAGGGUUGUGUGAUGAGGUUGAUUUAAUGCAUCCCUGCCAAGACAACAUCUGUUGCCGCUUUAGCGAGAACUUCACUGCUGUUCUUCAAAAUGUUCUUCAAAUGACCAAGGAUUUGCCACUGAAGGUCUACAUAGAGGCAAGAGAGAAUGCACUGGCUGAAGACAUUACAGGAAUUGACUUCAAGGGGGCACUUCUCCUCUUGCCAUCCAUCUUCAAGGAGAAGAUAGAAGAUUUCAUCAUCCUUGGAGAGAUAAAUGCAUGAUGCAAUGCAUAGCCUUUGGCCACAAGUUUCAUUCUCGGUGUUUUGUUGGCAUGGAGCUGAAUUCAGCUGCGGUUCAGCAUCACAGCUAAGCUAAUGUAGGGGAAACACUGCUGUUAAUCCACAGACUUACAGAAUGCUCUGGAAAUGAACAAAAGUUUUACAGAUGUGCAUUUUCAGGAUAAAGUGCUUCAGCGUGUGUCUGCUAUAUCUGUCAGCAGUGUCAAAUAUGAACUUGAGGAUGUUUUUGUAGUUGGCCAUGUACACACUGAAGCCAUACCUAUAUUCUUUAAAAUCAAGUAUAUUUUGAAUGUUGAUACUUGUUGGGUAUUGUGUGGGGAAACUGUUACUUCCUUGCACUUAUGAAUGUCAUUUCCAUGCUUACCAAGUGGCAGUUCACAAUGGCUGGAUCCUGUUCAAUCCAGGAAAUGAAUUAGACUUUCAAGCUCUAGACACCUAUUUAGUUGAUGAUAGGCUGUUUGUGUCCUUGAGGUAUUCUGUGUGACGUGAUUGCAAGCACAUUUUCCACUUUGUCUAUAUAUAUGACAUACAUAUAUUCUGGCUUGUUGAAGUAGAGCAAAACAUUUGUGUGGACAGUUUUUUUUUAAAUACAUGCCAUCUCUGUGAUCCGUCAAAAACAUUGUGUUCAGGUGUUUAAUGUCUUUAUGUGAUUGUUUACUUUUUUUAAAUGAAUGUAUUUUUCUUGACAUGUCCUAUGGCAAUAUACGAAUGUAAUCAAGGAUGUAUUCCUGUGGUUGUUUAAAUGCUUUGAUGUGAUUCUAUUAUCGAAAAUAAAUGGUUAAAUAACC